AAAAAACAAGUGGGACACUCACUUAGGUAGUAGGAAGAUAUAAGAGGAGGCCAAAAGUGUAACAUCAUUUUUUUCCACAUAAUAUUCAUACGGUUUUGAUGCAAAAGAGAUAUAUGAAAUCUUCGAGGACUGUGGUGAGAUUGAUGAAGUGUUAUUUUCUUCAAUGAGAUAUAGUAGAGGCAAAAGAUAUAGUAUUGUCAGGUUCUACAACGUCCAAGAGGAAAGGGUGUUGGCAACAAAGUUAGGUAAUAUUU
rnacentral:lncRNA from 1 species